AGGUGGCUUAAUGUUUUUUCUCUCUUCAAGUAGAAGUGGUCCAAGGGAAAAGUCAGAGACAAGUUGAACAACCUCGUCUUGUUUGACAAGGCCACCUAUGACAAACUCUGUAAAGAAGUGCCCAACUACAAGCUCAUCACGCCUGCAGUUGUCUCAGAAAGGCUGAAGAUUCGGGGCUCUCUGGCUAGAGCUGCUCUUCAGGAACUGCUUAGCAAAGGUUUGAUCAAGCUUGUGUCCAAGCACCGAGCCCAAGUGAUCUACACCAGAAACACAAAAGGCGGAGAUGCGCCUGCUGCUGGGGAGGAUGCAUAGGAAGGUUCUCCAGUGACCUCUUCAACAAUAUGUCAUAUGUAGAUGCACGCAAUAAAAUUAUUGAAAUAA